rnacentral:rRNA from 1 species
GAUGAACGCUGGCGGCGUGCCUAAUACAUGCAAGUCGAGCGAAUGGAUUAAGAGCUUGCUCUUAUGAAGUUAGCGGCGGACGGGUGAGUAACACGUGGGUAACCUGCCCAUAAGACUGGGAUAACUCCGGGAAACCGGGGCUAAUACCGGAUAACAUUUUGAACCGCAUGGUUCGACAUUGAAAGGCGGCUUCGGCUGUCACUUAUGGAUGGACCCGCGUCGCAUUAGCUAGUUGGUGAGGUAACGGCUCACCAAGACAACGAUGCGUAGCCGACCUGAGGGGGUGAUUGGCCACACUGGGACUGAGACACGGCCCAGACUCCUACGGGAGGCAGCAGUAGGGAAUCUUCCGCAAUGGACGAAAGUCUGACGGAGCAACGCCGCGUGAGUGAUGAAGGCUUUCGGGUCGUAAAACUCUGUUGUUAGGGAAGAACAAGUGCUAGUUGAAUAAGCUGGCACCUUGACGGUACCUAACCAGAAAGCCACGGCUAACUACGUGCCAGCCGCCGCUGUAA